AAUAUUUGUGUGGAAACUGUGAUGCAUUUUAUUUUUAAGGAUUGUUUGAUCAUUAGAAAGUUCAUUAGAAACAGCAUUUAUUAGAAAAAUAAAUCCUUUUUAACACUAUAAAUGUCUUUGCUGUUACAUUUGACCAAAUUAAUGCAUCCUUGAAGAAUAAAAGUGUUAAUAUCCACAUACUCUGGAUUGUAGUUCUUUGUUUUGAUCUACUCAAACGUUCCUCUCCAUCUUCAUUCAGUGUUUGUUUUGGAUCUUCAUUCAGAUGAUGGAUAUGUUUGGGAUUUUCUCAUGUUUCAUCUACCUUCACGUUCAUCUUGUUGAUUGCGUCUCUGCUGCUUUGAUGAAUCACACGUUCAGUAAAGACCUGCAUCAGAACAGUCCACCCCAAAUAUUCAGAUGUGUGCUGCGCAUUUUACGGAGGACUGUUUCCUGAUCCUGGGAGAGUAGACUACAAUGCUGGUGCUUCUGACUCUGACUUUGUAUGUUUCUCUUAUCGCUUCAGACAUUUGUUCUAUGCAAACGUAAGUGCCCUACGAAGUGGACAUCACAGGAUACUCCGCCGUGAUUCCAGUUCGAUGCAAACGUAUAUGUUCCAUUCAAAGUGCACUGAAGGGUGCGAGACGUCAAUUCAACCUACAGGUAUAUGAUGUAACACCUGUCCGUGUGUGAAGACAUAGCGCAGCGCAAAUCCAUGAAUGAAUGUUCCGAAGUGAAUUAAACUUCAACAGAUUUCCCGCUGCUCAGAGAGUAGGGAGCAAUGAACAUUGUGUAGAGACCAUGUCAAUGGGAACACAGUUCAUGCAUGGAGCUCACUUCUAACAAGCUGAUUAUCUGAAUCAGGUGUGUUAACAAAGAGAGACAUAUAAAAUAUGCAGAGCUGGGUGCACAAACUUGUUGUUUGUCGUUUCUCCAAUCGCAAAUGCAGACUUGUUUAAUGUUUACGCGGCGCGAUGCAACGCAAUGCAUAAAAACACAGUAUAAGUCAUUAUAACCCGUAAUUAUGUCUCCACUUGAUGCAAACAAAUGCUCGUUUGUAAUGGGUUUUAUUGGUUUUGUCUCGUCUCGCCGGUGUUCUGACCGGGAUCACAGUAUGACAACGGGCGUAACAUUUCCGUCACACGCUUGAGGCAUUCGGCCAAUCACAAAGCACUGGAUAGCUGGCCAAUCAGAGCACACCUCGCUUUUCAAACCGAUGAGCUUUGUAAAAACCAAUCUUUCAGAAGGUGGGGCAUUUAGGAGAAACAAUAAUGUACAGAAUCUGGAAAAUAAUGUGUUUUUUUUUUAACCUUAAACCGCAUAAACACAUUUAAUUACACCAAGUACACAAAAUAAUGUUCUUUUUAGCAACAUCAUAUGACCCCUUUAAUUAAAUUUCACUUUUAGACACUGUAGUAUGAGCAUUAAACAGCAAGAACUUAAAAUGUCAGGAGUCCAAUACCAGGCUGCUGAGUUUAAUCGCUGAUGAUGUAUGGGAAUAUUUGUGCCAAAGUAUGAGAACUUAUGAUUACAUAAGUAUUUGUUUAUCAGAAUUAAUGUAUGUUUCGCUCUAUGUAUUGUUUUUGAUUAUAUUUUGCCAUAAAAGUGAAGUCAAAAUUAGAGGUUAGUGCUCUCAGUGAAGUUUUUUUUAUUAUUAUUAUUAUUAUUAUUUUUUUUUUUAAAUGAGUAUAUACAAAUUGUUUUGGUGUAUAGAAGCAAUAUCACCUUGUCAUCUUGCUCCGUAAACUGAUAGUAGG
ensembl:lncRNA